ensembl:snRNA U4 U4 spliceosomal RNA
AAAACUGUGCAGUGGCAAUAUCAUAGCCAGUGAGGUUUAUCCGAGACAUGAUUAUUGCUAAUUGAAGUGGUUCAUUGAUGGUCUUCUCAUUUCUCAUGUAUUUCUAUAAAU